AAUCCUCUGGGGAAUCACAUGACCACGAAAUCUCAACAAUCCAUCUCUCCACGCUCUUGUUCGCGUAAUUAUUGACUGUUUAUAUCUAAGGACUAUAUACACGGGUGUAAAGAGGCACGUUGUGAUUUUCAUAAGUGGCGCCUCAUCCUGGACAAUCAUUUAUUUUCUUUUCCUGGAUAAACGCCACUAUCGUCCAAUCAACGAUUUCUGACAUCAUCAGCCUGCGCCUUUGCUGUUUUUCAAAUUCCUACCAGUGCCUCCUGCUCAUGCAGAGCAACAGAUUGGAUCACAUUCCUAGUGGAAUGAUGAUUGUCAAGACAUCGUUUCAGUCAUUUAAAGAUGGAAGAUGGCUUGAUGACAUGGAUGCUCAAAUGAGAGCGUGCACUGAAGGGUCCACUGACUCCUGAAUCGGACUUCAUCAGCCAACGUACUUGUAAAGGAGAAAGCUAUGUUAACAUUUCUUUUUAUAAAAUACUACAAUAAUCAGAUCUACACAUGCUGUGAAAAACUUUUAUGUGUGUAUCUCAUAAAAUUAAACAUACCUGAAGAACAUGGUGCCAACAAAGGAGAACAUUGAUUUCACAUAUAUCUCUGUCAACUAUGAAUGACCUGAAAUUAUCAAAGAAUAUUCAAUAUAUUUAUUCAGCUAUAUGCUUUAGGCACUGACAGUAUAGUAAGAGAUCACAGUGUAAGAUAUCUGUGUGAUGUAUUUUUAAUCCUUAUGCUAACUAAGAGCAAUAAAACAUAAUCCAGUGUAUUUUGCAUGUUCAUAGGUGCACUUUAAUGGACACACUGUUAUAAUUAAUAUUUGACAUUGCAAUGCAUAUUAUGUACAUGAUAACAUGAUUCAGGCAUGUGCAAAAGUUGGAAUACUCCUGUUCAG